GAAUUUUCCGCAAUGGGCGAAAGCUGACGGAGCAAUGCCGCGUGGAGGAAGACGGCCCGUGGGUUGUAAACUCCUUUUCUCAGAGAAGAAGCUCUGACUGGUAUCUGAGGAAUAAGYAUCGGCUAACUCCGUGCCAGCAGCCGCGGUAAUACGGAGGAUGCAAGCGUUAYGCGGGAAUCAUUGGGCGUAAAGCGUCUGUAGGUGGUUUUGUAAGUMMGCUGUAAAAGAGUACAGCUUAAUGUAUAUGGGCAGUGGAAAUACAAGACUGGAGUGUGGUAGGGGUAGAGGGAAUUCCCCGGUGUAGCGGUGAAAUGCGUAG
rnacentral:rRNA from 1 species